rnacentral:rRNA from 1 species
CCGACGGGAGGUAGCAGGGAGGAAUAUUGGUCAAUGGGCGUAAGCCGGAACCAGCCAAGUCGCGUGAGGGAUGAAGGUUCUAUGGAUCGUAAACCUCUUUUAUAAGGGAAUAAAGUGCGGGACGUGUCCCUUUUUGUGUGUACCUUAUGAAUAAGGAUCGGCUAACUCCGUGCCAGCAGCCGCGGUAAUACGGAGGAUCCGAGCGUUAUCCGGAUUUAUUGGGUUUAAAGGGUGCGUAGGCGGCUUUUUAAGUCAGCGGUGAAAGUCUGUGGCUCAACCAUAGAAUUGCCGUUGAAACUGGGAGGCUUGAGUAUGUUUGAGGAAGGCGGAAUGCGUGGUGUAGCGGUGAAAUGCUUAGAUAUCACGCAGAACCCCGAUUGCGAAGGCAGCCUGCCAAGCCAUGACUGACGCUGAUGCACGAAAGCGUGGGGAUCAAACAGGAUUAGAUACCCGAGUAGUC